GACAGAGGGUGCAAACGUUGUUCGGAAUUACUGGGCGUAAAGCGCGUGUAGGCGGCUGCGCAAGUCGGAUGUGAAAUCCCAUGGCUCAACCAUGGAAGUGCACCCGAAACUGCGUAGCUAGAGUCUCGGAGAGGAAGGCGGAAUGCUUGGUGUAGAGGUGAAAUUCGUAGAUAUCAAGCGGAACACCGGUGGCGAAAGGCGGGUCUCUGGGCCGUAACUGACGCUGAGGAGCGAAAGCGUGGGGAGCGAACAGG
rnacentral:rRNA from 1 species